rnacentral:rRNA from 1 species
UGGGGAAUAUUGGACAAUGGGCGAAAGCCUGAUCCAGCCAUGCCGCGUGUGUGAAGAAGGUCUUCGGAUUGUAAAGCACUUUAAGUUGGGAGGAAGGGCAGUAAGCGAAUACCUUGCUGUUUUGACGUUACCGACAGAAUAAGCACCGGCUAACUCUGUGCCAGCAGCCGCGGUAAUACAGAGGGUGCAAGCGUUAAUCGGAAUUACUGGGCGUAAAGCGCGCGUAGGUGGUUCGUUAAGUUGAAUGUGAAAGCCCCGGGCUCAACCUGGGAACUGCAUCCAAAACUGGCGAGCUAGAGUAGGGCAGAGGGUGGUGGAAUUUCCUGUGUAGCGGUGAAAUGCGUAGAUAUAGGAAGGAACACCAGUGGCGAAGGCGACCACCUGGGCUCAUACUGACACUGAGGUGCGAAAGCGUGGGGAGCAAAAAGG